rnacentral:rRNA from 1 species
UACGGAGGGUGCAAACGUUGCUCGGAAUCAUUGGGCGUAAAGCGCACGUAGGCGGUCGGCUAUGUCGGAUGUGAAAGCCUCGGGCUUAACCCGAGAAGGGCAUCCGAAACUGGCCGGCUUGAGCACGGAAGAGGGUCUCGGAAUUCCCGGUGUAGAGGUGAAAAUUCGUAGAUAUCGGGAGGAACACCGGUGGCGAAGGCGGCCUGCUGGGCAGUUACUGACACUGAGGCGCGACAGCGUGGGGGAGCAAACAGG